rnacentral:misc_RNA from 2 species
AACUUCCACCUGGCUUACCUCCUCAGUUAUGCGUCAUGACUUGUAUCGUCUUGAGCGUAUUGUGGGUUUCCUGUGUUGCAUACCUAAUAAUGGAAUCGUUUUGGUUGAUUGAAGUCCCUUUUCAUCACGUGUUGCCUUUGCGACGCAUGAUGAACCUCGAAGCGGUCUCUAUGUUCCACCACGUUGAUGCUAGUGUCUUGAUGUUGUGGCCCAUUGAGUGUUGCUUGGUUUCGUGGAUACAGAACAUGAUUUGGGCAUAGGGUCACCUGUGACUCUUGUUUUGUCCUUUAUCAGUGUUCUCUAUAACGACGGUUCAUGCGCGCCUAGGCUCGUACCUGCGCGAUGUUCUUUGUCGAAGAGGAAUGCUACCUGGUUGAUCCUGCCAGUA